ACUUGUGCCUCUAAGAAGUUGGACAAGUGGCAUUCAGCCACCCGAGAUUGAGCAAUAACAGGUCUGUGAUGCCCUUACAUGUCCGGGGCUGCACGUGCGCUACACUGACUGGCUCAGCGUGUGUCUACCCUACGCCGACAGGUGUGGGUAACCCGUUGAACCCCAUAUGUGAUGGGGAUCAGGGAUUGCAAUUAAUCCCCAUGAAUGAGGAAAUCCCAGUAAGUGCGGGUCAUAAGCUCAUGUUGAUUAAGUCCCUGCCCUUUGUACACACUGCCCGUCGUUACUACUGAUUGUAUGGUUUAGUGAGGUCCUCGGAUCGGCCCCGCUGGGGUCAGUCACGGCCCUGGCGGAGCGCUGAGAAGAUGGUCGAACUUGGCUAUCUAGAUGAAGUAAAAGAUCUGAAGAG